UACGUAGGGGGGCAAGCGUUGUCCGGAUUUAUUGGGCGUAAAGAGCGUGUAGGCGGCCAGGUAGGUCUGCUGUGAAAACUCGAGGCUUAACCUCGAGAUGUCGGCGGAAACCAUCUGGCUAGAGUCCGGAAGAGGAGAGUGGAAUUCCUGGUGUAGCGGUGAAAUGCGCAGAUAUCAGGAAGAACACCAAUGGCGAAAGCAGCUUUCUGGGACGGUACUGACGCUGAGACGCGAAAGCGUGGGGAGCGAACAGG
rnacentral:rRNA from 1 species